rnacentral:rRNA from 1 species
UCUACGGGAGGCAGCAGUGGGGAAUAUUGGACAAUGGGCGAAAGCCUGAUCCAGCCAUGCCGCGUGUGUGAAGAAGGCCUUCGGGUUGUAAAGCACUUUCAGUGGGGAAGAAAGCCUUGGGGCUAAUACCCUCGAGGAAGGACAUCACCCACAGAAGAAGCACCGGCUAACUCCGUGCCAGCAGCCGCGGUAAUACGGAGGGUGCGAGCGUUAAUCGGAAUUACUGGGCGUAAAGCGCGCGUAGGCGGUCUGAUAAGCCGGUUGUGAAAGCCCCGGGCUCAACCUGGGAACGGCAUCCGGAACUGUCAGGCUAGAGUGCAGGAGAGGAAGGUAGAAUUCCCGGUGUAGCGGUGAAAUGCGUAGAGAUCGGGAGGAAUACCAGUGGCGAAGGCGGCCUUCUGGACUGACACUGACGCUGAGGUGCGAAAGCGUGGGUAGCAAACAGGAUUAGAUACCCUAGUAGUC